rnacentral:rRNA from 1 species
AUUGAACGCUGGCGGCAGGCCUAACCCAUGCAAGUCGAACGAGUGGCAGAAGUGAGAGAAAUGUCUGUGAAACUGCCCGCUGGAGGGGAAUAACGACUGGAAACGGUAGCUAAAACCGCAUACCAACGGAUGUGCCCAGAUGGGAUGAGCUAGUAGGUUGGGUAAAGGCUUACCUAGGCGACGAUCCCUAGCAGGUCUGAGCGGAUGACCAGCCACACCGGACACGAGACAGUGUCCAGACGCCUAAGGUAGGCAGCAGUGGGGAAUAUUGCACAAUGGGCGCAAGCCGCAUGCAGCCAUGCCGCGUGUAUGAAGAAGGCCUUCGGGUUGUAAAGUACUUUCAGCUGGGAGGCGUUACCCGCAGAAGAAGCACCGGCUAACUCCGUGCCAGCAGCCGCGGUAAUAC